AAAUCCCACGGCUCAACCGUGGGGCUCGCUGGGGAUACUGCGGGCCUUGGGACCGGGAGAGGCCGGGGGUACCCCCGGGGUAGGGGUGAAAUCUUAUAAUCCCGGGGGGACCGCCAGUGGCGAAGGCGCCCGGCUGGAACGGGUCCGACGGUGAGGGCCGAAGGCCAGGGGAGCGAACCGGAUUAGAUACCCGGGUAGUCCUGGCUGUAAAGGAUGCGGGCUAGGUGUCGGGCGAGCUUCGAGCUCGCCCGGUGCCGUAGGGAAGCCGUUAAGCCCGCCGCCUGGGGAGUACGGCCGCAAGGCUGAAACUUAAAGGAAUUGGCGGGGGAGCACUACAAGGGGUGGAGCGUGCGGUUCAAUUGGAUUCAACGCCGGGAACCUUACCGGGGGCGACGGCAGGAUGAAGGCCAGGCUGAAGGUCUUGCCGGACGCGCCGAGAGGAGGUGCAUGGCUGCCGUCAGCUCGUACCGUGAGGCGUCCACUUAAGUGUGGUAACGAGCGAGACCCGCGCCCCCAGUUGCCAGUCCCUCCCGCUUGGGAGGGAGGCACUCUGGGGGGACUGCCGGCGAUAAGCCGGAGGAAGGGGCGGGCGACGGUAGGUCAGUAUGCCCCGAAACCCCCGGGCUACACGCGCGCUACAAUGGGCGGGACAAUGGGACCCGACCCCGAAAGGGGAAGGGAAUCCCCUAAACCCGCCCUCAGCUCGGAUCGCGGGCUGCAACUCGCCCGCGUGAAGCUGGAACCCCUAGUACCCGCGCGUCAUCAUCGCGCGGCGAAUACGUCCCUGCUCCUUGCACACACCGCCCGUCACUCCACCCGAGCGGGGCCCGGGUGAGGCCCGAUCUCCUUCGGGAGGUCGGGUCGAGCCCGGGCUCCGUGAGGGGGGAGAAGUCGUAACAAGGUAGCCGUAGGGGAACCUACGGCUCGAUCACCUCCU
rnacentral:rRNA from 1 species